UUUGUAAAGAAUGGUUAUGACUCCUUGGGCGAAGGUCCUGGGCGUGCACCCUGUUUGCUCCAUGACAGAAAAAACCCGCAAUAGUAUUUUACUUAUUGGAUCUUUGAACUGUUUAUAAAAUUCAGAAGUAAUGCCAUCAUGUCCAGGACUUUUAUUAUUAUUCAAUGAGUUGAUAACGUGUUUAAUUUCUUCCUCUGUCAAUGGAGCAUCACAACAGAGACUGUCUUCCCGAGAGAGUGAGGAAUCGAUCACACCGACAACCUGAUUUAUUUUAUUGGUAGAAAUAUUUUCACUUGUAAAAAGAUGUGAAUAAAAAGUCUGAACCGUUUCUAAAAUACUUGUUAUGUCUGACACCUGUUCUCCCUUCUCAUUUAGCAAUUCAUUUAUUGUUGCGUUAGCUUGUUUGCGUUUCUCUUGAGCCAGAAAGAAAGCUGUAGAUUUUUCUCCUUCUGUUAAAUAUUUUGCUUUGCUGCGAAUAAUGGCUCCUUUACAUUUAUUUAUUUCUAUUUGCUCUAGUUGUUUUUUUAUUAUCAAAUAAUCUGUUAUGUCUCUGCUUUGAUCAUUUUCUAAAUGAUCUAAUUCACUAUUUAACUUUCUUCUUAAAAUGCAUUCAUUAUGGAGUUCUCUCCGUUUUUUCUGUCUGCUAUAUUUUAUGGAAAGGUUUUUGACUCUUUGUUUGGCCUGAUCCCACCACUCUAGCAGGUUGUCAGUGUGAUCCAUUUCCCCACUCAGGGUCUGCAGCAGGAUGCCAAUCUCACCUCUGAAGGAAUGGUCACUCCAGACGUUGUCCCGGAUGAGACAGGAUGACACCUCGGGGACAAGAGAAGACGAGAUCAGGCACAAGUCGAGUCGUGAUUGUUUCAGUUUUCCUAAAAUGACCUGUUUUCUGGUAAAUUGUUUUUUACCUGGGU